AUGGUUGUCGUCAGCUCGUGCCGUGAGGUGUCGGGUUAAGUCCCAUAACGAGCGCAACCCCUACCUUUAGUUGCCAUCAGGUUAAGCUGGGGACUCUAAAGGAACUGCCUACGCAAGUAGUGAGGAAGGCGGGGAUGACGUCAAAUCAGCACGGCCCUUACGUCCAGGGCUACACACGUGCUACAAUGGCCGAUACAGAGGGCAGCUACCUGGUGACAGGAUGCAAAUCUACCAAAGUCGGUCUCAGUUCGGAUCGGAGUCUGCAACCCGACUCCGUGAAGUUGGAUUCGCUAGUAAUCGCGCAUCAGCCAUGGCGCGGUGAAUACGUUCCCGGGCCUU
rnacentral:rRNA from 1 species